rnacentral:lncRNA from 1 species
UAUCAAUCAAGUGAAGCAGCUAUCACAGGGUCUGGAACAUAGUACAUCCCAGCCUUCUUGCACAUAGAAACACUACACAGCACUUCAGCUGUAUGUUUGGGGGCCAUUUUAAACAGCAAAAUCAUCAACAGGAAGCAGAAAAUUGUAAAAAUUGUGGCACUAAAUAGACCAUGUAAAGGACACAUGUUUGCAAUAAGAAAGCUGAAACAAGAAGGGGGAGUGUCACCUUAUUUGAUCCAGCUAGAAACUCAGGUGCUGGUAUUCCAGCAACACUCAGGCGGCUGCUCCAGGAGGCUGCAGAGGGGUCCUUUUUAGCCGUCAACAAAACUGGCUAUGGUCACGCCCAUUGGGAAACUCAUUGCUGCCUUCAAGGUGGAAGUUAAAGUCAUCACAGUUCUUU